rnacentral:rRNA from 1 species
GACGAACGCUGGCGGCGUGCUUAACACAUGCAAGUCGAACGGAAAGGCCCUGCUUUUGCGGGGUGCUCGAGUGGCGAACGGGUGAGUAACACGUGAGUAACCUGCCCUUGACUUUGGGAUAACUUCAGGAAACUGGGGCUAAUACCGGAUAGGAGCUCCUGCUGCAUGGUGGGGGUUGGAAAGUUUCGGCGGUUGGGGAUGGACUCGCGGCUUAUCAGCUUGUUGGUGGGGUAGUGGCUUACCAAGGCUUUGACGGGUAGCCGGCCUGAGAGGGUGACCGGCCACAUUGGGACCGAGAUACGGCCCAGACUCCUACGGGAGGCAGCAGUGGGGAAUAUUGCACAAUGGGCGGAAGCCUGAUGCAGCAACGCCGCGUGCGGGAUGACGGCCUUCGGGUUGUAAACCGCUUUCGCCUGUGACGAAGCGUGAGUGACGGUAAUGGGUAAAGAAGCACCGGCUAACUACGUG